CACGGGGGGAGCAAGCGUUGUUCGGAUUUACUGGGCGUAAAGGGCGCGUAGGCGGCCACCGCAAGUCAAUUGUGAAAUCUCCGGGCUUAACUCGGAAAGGUCAACUGAUACUGCGGGGCUAGAGUGCGGAAGGGGCAACUGGAAUUCUCGGUGUAGCGGUGAAAUGCGUAGAUAUCGAGAGGAACACCAGCGGCGAAGGCGGGUUGCUGGGCCGACACUGACGCUGAUGCGCGAAAGCUGGGGGAGCAAACAGG
rnacentral:rRNA from 1 species